AGCGAACGCUGGCGGCAGGCUUAACACAUGCAAGUCGAGCGGGCACUUUCGGGUGUCAGCGGCGGACGGGUGCGUAACGCGUGGGAACGUGCCCUCUGGUUCGGAGUAACUCAGGGAAACUUGAGCUAAUACCGGAUACGCCCUUUUGGGGAAAGGCUUGCUGCCGGAGGAUCGGCCCGCGUCUGAUUAGCUAGUUGGUGAGGUAACGGCUCACCAAGGCGACGAUCAGUAGCUGGUCUGAGAGGAUGAUCAGCCACACUGGGACUGAGACACGGCCCAGACUCCUACGGGAGGCAGCAGUGGGGAAUAUUGGACAAUGGGCGCAAGCCUGAUCCAGCCAUGCCGCGUGAGUGAUGAAGGCCUUAGGGUUGUAAAGCUCUUUUAUCCGGGACGAUAAUGACGGUACCGGAGGAAUAAGCCCCGGCUAACUUCGUG
rnacentral:rRNA from 1 species